GUCGCUUCUGGGGGCAGCGCCCAGUAACCGCGCUAGGAGCGCGGAGAAGGGCAUUGGGAGAGCGGCGUUCGUGGCGGAGACUAGCGCUCCGGAGCACGGGCACGGCGGGGGCACCUUCUCGGCUGCUAGUAACUAACAAUAAUAAUAAUCAUAAUUAUAGCAAGGGCGCUGAUGGGCGGGCUCGGAGCACGCCUGAUUCUGGUUCCCACCAGGCUGCCCGGGCUCCUGAUGACUCAUCAGAAACAUCCCCCUAACCCGCGGCCUUCCUGCAGGAGAGGUUGGGAAGGGGUGGGGGACGGGGCUCCGGGGAGGUCUCCGAGGGACUCUAGUAAGCGGGGAAGGGCGCCGGGAAAGUUUCAGAUCCACGGCUGCGCGGGCCACGAGCCCACCCGAACGCCGACCACUGCUUUCCGUCGACUUCUAUUUCCUGGGAACGCGCGAAAGCAAACCCAAGUCAGACUGCGGAGGUCGCUGGGGAGGGAAGUUUCAAGGAGUUCUCGCCGAUCCUGCUGAAUAAAGGGGGUUCCGAGCUGGGCCGAGAUGGGGCAUGCGCGGGAAGACCCCUGCCCGCUGUUCCCCCCCACCGCCCCAGUGGAUGCCAUGCCUGGGGCCUCCCCGGCGCGUGUGGCUGACGCACCCUCGGGGUCCAUCGUAGUUGGCCGGGAUCGUGGAGUGGGUGCGGUGGACGAAGGGAGGCAGGACAGCCCCGGGGGUGGCAGAAGGAGCCCGGGCACAGCUGAGACCUGCGCUCCCAUCCCACCAACACUCACAGCGGGUGACUGCCGAGCUGGGCAAUUGGGAUGGCCCAAGUUAUUUGGUUAAAUUUUAAAUCACGUUUGUUACUGGGAAGUAGAGUCCAGUGAUGCUAACCACGCCUCUACCUCCACCACCGGUGUCAGUCCCAAAGGGCUCCUAAAAUGGCUGUGUCAUCUUUCAGCCUUGGACCGCAGUUGCCGGCCAGGAAUCCCAGUGUCACGGUGGACACGCCUCCCUCGCGCCCUUGCCGCCCACCUGCUCACCCAGCUCAGGGGCUUUGGAAUUCUGUGGCCACACUGCUAGGAGAUCAGUUCUGGGUCGGAGGCUACAGGAAAACUCCCACUCCCUGAAAUCUGGAGUGAAGAACGCCGCCAUCCAGCCACCAUUCCAAGGUAAGGCAGAAAUGAAGUGGGCCGUUGGGUUCUUUCUUUUCUUUCUUUCUUUUUUUUGAGACAAGAUCUCACUCUGUCGCCCAGGCUGGAGUGCAGUGGCGCCAUCUCAGCUCACUGCAACCCCCGCCUCCCAGGUUCAAGCGAUUCUGGUGCCUCAGUCUCCUGAGUAGCUGGGAUUACAGGCACACAUCACCACACCUGGCUAAUUUGUAUGUGUUUAGUAGAGACAGCAUUUCACCAUAUUGGCCAGGCUGGUUUCAAACUCCUGGCCUCAAGUGAUCCACCCGCCUUGAUUUCUCAAAGUACUGGGAUUACAGGCACGAGCCACUGCACCCAGUCAGGUUCAUUUUAGUUGUUAUGUUAACCAGGUUUCCUCCACCUGUGCACUAACUUUCACUUUCCCAAAAGGUUUCAGGAUGACCCAGCAGGCAAUGAGUGAUUCUCAAAUUCAGGAUUUAUUGUGAGAGCUUCACACACACAAUUGAGCAGACAUUCACAGUACAAUGAUUAAAGGGAGUGAUUAGGGUAAGGACCCACAGUGGAGGCUCUGGAGGCCAGCCCACUGACAGCCACUCCAGGGAGUCCAGAAGUCCCGCUCUAGUGCUGGGUGGUGGAGGGAAAUCUGUUCCUCCAGGGGCCUCAUCCUCGGCUGCCCAGCUGCCAAAGUCAGGAAGAAGCUUUCAGAAAUCUCACUGCCAAGGUUCCGAAAAUGCUUCAGACACUGCCAGUCCCUUGUCGCUUUUGCGAUCCUCCACAGGUGUGCGUGCCACUGGGUCCUUAUCCACUGGAGUCUCUGGUGGCAUUGGGCCACAGCAAGUGUUCCCUCAUCCCCUUAGUCUACCACACACAUGCUUACCACUUUGAAGAAAAACCCCUUUACUAUGAGCGAAAGUGAGAGACACGUAUGUUUAUUGUUUCUAAAGAAAGAAACUUACUAUGGGCUUAAUGCUACCUAAUGAGUGCCUCCAUUUUGAGACAUUAGGGUCACAAGUCAUUAUUAUAUAUCAUGGGCACAAGCCUGCCCUGGGCAGGGACGGAAGGAAGCCCCUGCACAGGGGCCGUUGCUCAGGAUGUGAGAAGAGCCUGGUGCAUAUCCCCAUCCAUGCCCACCUAACAUCUCAGGCUCUGACCAGUGGGGCUGUGCAGUAGCGAAUGGAUGGAGGGCUGGAACCCUGCAGCCUCCUCUCCAAACACAGGGUGCAGCCAAGACAUUUUAGGAGCAAUUUGGGAUGGAGAGCUAGGAGUCGCCACCUCUUGGCUCUUCCAAGGCUGGAACUGCUGCCUGCACUCAGUUCAGUUUGAAGACUGCAGCUGGAUGCCAAGUUCCAUGGAGGAGUAAGAAACCGGUUUGAACUCCCGAGAUUGCCCUGCCCCUGAAAUCCAAACUGAUGUUCCAAAUGAUCAGGGAAAGGUACAAAUGUUUAUGGUUUACAGACAAAACCCAUAAGGUUUAGCUUUCAGAGAAUCUCAUUUUAUGAAGCAAAUUAGGGAAGGGAAUCUACUCACCAAGUCCUGUUUCAGCUGAUUGAGUGGAACCUGUGGUCAUGUGGUACAAGUCCUGGUCUCAAUGAUGCUCCUUAUCUGGCUGCAGAAAGGCCAACUGAGGCAACCAUAGCCCAGAAGACUGGUACUCCUGAGAGGCAGAUGAAGUGCUGGUCUUUGAUAUCGAGCCUGGGAUGCCCUGGGCACAUGAGGUAUUUCCAAAGGCAUGAGAGUUUUAGGGAAUAAAUUCCCAGAUUGUCAGACUCCAUAAGUACCGUUUACAAUGGAUUACCUUUUAUAACCAUCCCAAUCCUACCUGACAAAAGAGGUGGGUGGAUUACGAGGUCAGGAAAUUGAGACCAUCCUGGCUAACACUGUGAGACCCCAUCUCUACUAAAUAAAUACAAAAAAUUAGCUGGGUCUGGUGGCGUGCACCUGUAGUCCCAGCUACUUGGGAGCCUGAGGCAGGAUAAUCGCUUGACCCCGGGAGGUGGAGGUUGCAGUGAGCCAAGAUUGCGCCACUGCUCUCCAGCCUGGUGACAAAGCGAGACUCUCUCAAAAAAAAAAAA
rnacentral:sRNA from 1 species